rnacentral:rRNA from 1 species
GAUGAACGCUGACAGAAUGCUUAACACAUGCAAGUCUUUGGCGAAUCUGUGCUUGCACAGGCUAGCCAAGGCGGACGGGUGAGUAACGCGUAAAGAACUUGCCCUGCAGACAGGGAUAACAGACGGAAACGACUGAUAACACCUGAUACAGUUGCCGGCACGCAUGUGCCUGGCAAUGAAAAGAGAUGCUGCAGGAGAGCUUUGCGUCCUAUUAGCUUGUUGGUGAGGUGACGGCUCACCAAGGCGAUGAUAGGUAGCCGGCCUGAGAGGGUGAACGGCCACAAGGGGACUGAGAUACGGCCCUUACUCCUACGGGAGGCAGCAGUGGGGAAUAUUGGACAAUGGGGGCAACCCUGAUCCAGCAAUUCUGUGUGCACGAAGAAGGUUUUCGGAUUGUAAAGCGCUUUCAGCAGGGAAGAAGAAAGUGACGGUACCUGCAGAAGAAGCGACGGCUAAAUACGUG